GAUGAACGCUAGCUACAGGCUUAACACAUGCAAGUCGAGGGGCAGCAUUACGGUAGCUUGCUACUGUAGAUGGCGACCGGCGCACGGGUGAGUAACGCGUAUCCAACCUGCCCAUGACUUGGGGAUAACCUUGCGAAAGCAAGCCUAAUACCCGAUACGCUUCAUAGAUGGCAUCUGAAAUGAAGUAAAGGUUUACGGUUAUGGAUGGGGAUGCGUCCGAUUAGCUUGUUGGCGGGGUAACGGCCCACCAAGGCAUCGAUCGGUAGGGGUUCUGAGAGGAAGGUCCCCCACAUUGGAACUGAGACACGGUCCAAACUCCUACGGGAGGCAGCAGUGAGGAAUAUUGGUCAAUGGAGGCAACUCUGAACCAGCCAAGUAGCGUGCAGGAUGACGGCCCUAUGGGUUGUAAACUGCUUUUAUGCGGGGAUAAAUUGACCCACGUGUGAGUUAUUGCAGGUACCGCAUGAAUAAGGACCGGCUAAUUCCGUGCCAGCAGCCG
rnacentral:rRNA from 1 species